rnacentral:rRNA from 1 species
GAUGAACGCUGGCGGCGUGCCUAAUACAUGCAAGUCGAGCGAACAGACGAGGAGCUUGCUCCUCUGACGUUAGCGGCGGACGGGUGAGUAACACGUGGAUAACCUACCUAUAAGACUGGGAUAACUUCGGGAAACCGGAUCUAAUACCGGAUAAUAUAUUUAACCGCAUGGUUUAAUAGUGAAAUACGGUUUUUCUGUCACUUAUAGCGGGAUCCGCGCCGCAUUAUCUAGUUGGUAAGGUAACGGCUUACCAAGGCAACGAUGCGUAGCCGACCUGAGAGGGUGAUCGGCCACACUGGAACUGAGACACGGUACAGACUCCUACGGGAGGCAGCAGUAGGGAAUCUUCCGCAAUGGGCGAAAACCUGACGGAGCAACGCCGCGUGAGUGAUGAAGGUCUUCGGAUCGUAAAACUCUGUUAUUAGGGAAGAACAAAUGUGUAAGUAACUAUGCACGUCUUGACGGUACCUAAUCAGAAAGCCACGGCUAACUACGUG